rnacentral:rRNA from 1 species
CAGUCGCCGCGGGAAAACGGAGGGAGCUAGCGUUGUUCGGAAUUACUGGGCGUAAAGCGCACGUAGGCGGUUAUUCAAGUCAGAGGUGAAAGCCCGGGGCUCAACCCCGGAACUGCCUUUGAAACUAGAUGACUGGAAUCUUGGAGAGGUCAGUGGAAUUCCGAGUGUAGAGGUGAAAUUCGUAGAUGUUCGGAAGAACACCAGUGGCGAAGGCGACUGACUGGACAAGUAUUGACGCCGAGGAGCGAAAGCGUGGGGAGCGAACAGGAUUAGAUACCCCCGUAGUCCCUGUCUCUUAUAC